rnacentral:lncRNA from 1 species
UUUUUAAAAUCUGCAGAGUUUAUCUUGUUUAUGUAAUAAAAUGUAGAAAAAGUUUUGUUUUUAACCUGUAUAGUUAAAAUUGUGAUAAAAAAAUUGAUAAUGAAAAUGUUAAAAAAACCUAAGUGUAGUCCGAUUUCUACUGUAUGUGCAGUGUCCAUGCUGAAAUGAGUUAGCUGAAGAGGGGCUGAUGCCCGAAACGUUGAUGUAUGGAAAAAACGUUCUAACUAAAUAAAAGAUUCAACUAGCCCAGUGUUGAAAAAAACGUCA